GACGAACGUUGGCGGCGUGCUUAAUACAUGCAAGUCAACUGAAGCAGUGGUAGCAAUAUCGCUGUGGAGGUGGCGCACGGGUGAGUAACACGUAGGUAAUCUGCCUUCAGGUCUGGCAUAACUCCGGGAACCCGGGGCAAUUAGCGAAUAAUGCACCGGCUCGACUUCAGGACGGUGGUUAAAGCUAGGGCGCCUGAGAAUGAGCCUGCGUCUGAUUAGCUAGUUGGCGGGGUAACGGCCCACCAAGGCAACGAUCAGUAGCUGGUCUGAGAGGAUGAUCAGCCACACUGGAACUGAGACACGGUCCAGACUCCUACGGGAGGCAGCAGUAAGGAAUAUUGCUCAAUGGGAGAAAUCCUGAAGCAGCAACGCCGCGUGAGGGACGAAGGGCUUUUGCUUGUAAACCUCUGUAGUGAGAGAAAAAAAUCCCAAUCUUUGGGACAUGAUGGUAUCUCAAAAGUAAGCCCCGGCUAACUACGUG
rnacentral:rRNA from 1 species